rnacentral:lncRNA from 1 species
AUUUCUACGGGCGUUAAUCCAAUGAAAAAUGAUAUGUGCCUUGUGGACAUAUGCACCACAAACUCUAUACUCAGGGAAGUCCAAUGUUUUUCACCCUCGUUGAGAGAAAGGAGAUACUUUAAAAUCGCCAGACGCGAUAAGGUAUUUGUUGGCUCAACUCAAAUCAUAUUUACUAUCCCUGUGGGUACUCGAGUAAUGUCAGGAUGCUUUAUUCCUUCCCGGUUUAACUCGUACCCUACUAAACUAUAGAGAUAUGCGUCAAAACAGUUUUCAUAGAGAAACUUAUGAUGACAAUAAAGAGAAAUGACUUCUCUUUACCAUAUGCAACGGAUAUGGCAAGCACAUUCUCUAUGUAUCAUCUGGAUUGUACUACACAUACUACACAGCCCGUAGCACAUGUUGCGUCCAAGACAGUUCCCCAAAAUGUCUUGUACAUGACAAACUUGGCAUACUCGCCUUGGUCAUCGAGAUAUUGGGUUGAAACCAGAACUAUCGGCAAUUUCAAUAGUUUAUGAUUAUUAUGAUGCUAAAUUCUAACAAUAUUGGAUUUUAUGUGUACUACAAGUGACACAGGGAAGCUAAUUUUAAGGCUCACGCACCUUAAAAUCUACGCUGAACCACCCAGACUCCUUGAACGCAUCAAGUCGAGGUGAGUGGCUCUUCCCAUCCAUUGACUAGACCAUUCAGGUAUUCCAUGGUUUUAAAAGACAUAUCUAAUACGAUUGUCUCAAGUGUGAUUUAUCCACAUGAAACCAUUGGCUCAUUAUCCUGACAUCGAUUUCAAGCAAAUCGAAUGGAUAACAUUGCAGAAUUCUCCUUGAGUGCCUUCUCUAUGAUCCUUGGAUUGAAGGUUAGCAAUUUGUCCUAUUUGUCUAGACUCAAAAUGGUUUGGUAGAAUCUUAUCCAAAGAAUUAAGCUCAUUGCAUGAUCUUUACUUUGGAAUUGCAACUUACCAACUUUACGUUGGAGUCAUGCAGUUUUACACGCUCAUGAGAGAACUGCAUAAUAUUAUUCCCCUCUAUCUUUGAUACGUGGAAAUCUACCAAGUAUUUCCCAUCUGCGAUAAUUCGGUUGCAUACCGAUAUCACCACCCGGCAUACAUCAUUGGCCCCUCAACAUAUAGUUGGGAUCUAUGUGAGGAAUAACUGUAUUACCGUCAAUACCUCAAACCCCUCACAUGGGGAGUUAUUCAAGGCCAGUAUGCUGAUUCAAUGAGGAAUAUUUCCAGGCAUUAGGGGGAGAAUUCAAGUACCAUAAAGAAUGCCAGGAAAUUAGUGGAAUGUUCAACACAUUUCUGCCUGAAAUUCACGUAUUCAAAGAUCUGAACCAUGCGUUCAGAAGAUUUGUAGCUUAUUGAAAAUAACCUGCCAGAUUCAUUUACUCGAUAUAAAGGUGUCACACAAUCCUACGAUCCUUUCAAAAGUACGUCUGAAAGAGUGGAGGUACCAACAAAAACCACUCCACUCCCCAUUCGAUGCAACAUGGGGAGAUGUAUGGAAAAAGUACAUUAGGAUUAAGCUUCUUGCAAGCAAGGAUAUCAAGGCCUAUGAAUCAGUAAAUGCAAGUCAACUUCACAUUGACAGACACCUAAUGGGUGGUAUACCCAGUGGAUGGGAAACCUCCACUAACCCAGGUCAUAGUGCACAUAAUGACUUGGACAUCGGAAUACCCGACUCAAUCGCAUUGGGAAAUCGCGAGCAGUCACCAUGGGUAACGAUAUUUCCAUCAACUAUAUAUUGAUAUAUAGAUUCUGAAGAAACAUAUAAUCGAAAGUCUACAAUUGUCGACAUACAUUUCUCAACUAGAUUGCAAAACCUUGCAAAUGAUUCAGAUCCAAAGACCAUGGCCAUGGCAAAGUGUGAAGAACACUCGGACUGAACUCAAGCAAAGGGUAUAAUCUAGGUAGAAAUGAUCUUGCUCAGUAGUGAGAAGGUAUUCAUAAGAAAUACCUACACCAGUUUUCUUCUGGAAACAGAAUUGAGAACAAUGAGGUGGUGAAACAUAGAGCAAGUAUUGUAGCACAAGGGUUCACGCAGAUACCCAACUAUUCUCCAGAGGUGGAAUAUCUUUCCGAUAAUUUAUAUCAUUGGCAGUACAUAAUCAUCUAUCUUUGCAGUUGAUAGAUGUAGUGAUCACAUAUCCAUGUGGUUCACUAGAUUCAGACAUAUAUGAUUGAUUGCCGAUGAAAUCUCACUUCUGAAUUGAAAUGCAAAAUGCAACAUACAUAGUGUAAAAAUCAGUAAGUCACCAUACGACUUAUUGUUGUCGGUACAUAUGGUACAACCGACGUAGUGAGUUCCUUAUGCAUAAGGAUUACUCCUACAAUGAUGAUUAUCCAUGUUUGUAUGUGUGCAAUGACGACACAUGUAAUCAUCUAAAUGACGGAGUUUAAAAUGAAGGAUUCGGGAAAACCAAAAUACCGCUCGUUGCUACAACUUGAGCACCUUCAUUUAUACACUAUGGUAUACUAUGUUGUCUAUAUCCAUAAUAUAUUAGGGAAAUUCAUUAUGGACAAAUAUUAUCCAUCCAUAGCUCUCAUGGUAGUUCAUUCUCUAGACAUAGACCAAGAGAUGAUGGAAAUGAGAUAUUGGGACUCAACGUUCCAUAAUGCCAUUGGAUCCACCAAACACAAUUGGUUGGUACUCAAGAAUAUCUUUCGAUAUCUGCAAGGCAUCAAACAUCCUGUCCUGGGUUUUCAGUUUCACAGAAAUGUGAGCAACGAUAUUAUUGGAUACAUCGAUCAGAUCCCCACUAUGUCAGAUCGUAGACAAGCUUAGUGUUCAUACUAGGUGUGGUAGCCCUCUCAUGAAGAGUCUUAAAAACAGACCUCAUGGCUACAUCCACCAACCAUUAUAUCAAAGAUAAUGUUGCUUGUGUUGCCCGGAUGCAAACAUGUUACGUAAUAAGCAAUAUCGCUAUAUUGCAUUUCUUGUAAAUCAAAUCAUGUGACUGAUUUGGUCACAGAAUCUCUACCAAGUUUUACAUUCCAGAAACAUGUUCAUGGAAUUGGUAUGUGACGACCGGCUUCGAAAUUUGCAAGAAUCAGGGGGAGUAUCUUCCUGAAUUGUUCCUGUUUAAUGCAUCAUAUUAUACUCUUUUUCCCUCAAUGAGUUUACUAUAUAGGUUCUCAUGAAGGUUUUUAACGAGGUAAUAUCAAACACAAGAUCAUAUAUCAUACUUUCAGUUUUCCCCACCGGGGUUUUUAGGAAAGUAUAUACGCAUAUUUAUUGUUCUCUUGAUUCUAUGAGUUUUCUCGUAUUGAGUUAAAGGAGACAAUAACCAUAUAUGUUGCGACAUUUUCUCCUUAUUUCCCCACUGGGUUUUGAAGGAGUUUUGGCAACAUAUCAAACACUAUACUCCUCAUAUUUUUCCCACAGGGUUUUUGGAGGAGCCUCUAAUCAAGAUGAUGAUUCUGGAUGGACAAGGAUAGAUUAGGGGGAGUGUUAGAGUUUAAUUAACAUGUGUUAAUUAUGGGGUAAUCUCCCCUUGUAACUGUCAUCUCUCCCGAAUAGAUGCCUCUUCAUUGCAUCUCUUCUCCUUGUAUAUAUAUCCAUAUUCAUCUAAUGAAAGAGGAAGAGGAUUCAUUCUAACAGUUCUUACGGUCCUAAGAGCAUCUCCA